AAUGUGGAGGCAUUGCAGAUGUGGCUGCUGUGUCACAGUGUGUCAGUAGAUGGCAGAGAGAAGAGAGGCUAUGUCUACACUCAGUGUGCUCAUCUGUGACCAUCUGAAUGAUUAGUAGCCUAACAUU